UAAUUAUAAGUAAAAUCUGCUCCAUGUUUAUAAAUAGCCGCAGAAUAACUGUGCUAAGGUAGCAUAAUCAUUUGUCUCUUAAUUUGGGACCAGAAUGAAUGAUUUAACAUUUUAAUUAAUUUUUUUAUACAAAAAAUUUAAAUUUAACUAAGAAUAAAAAUGUUCUUAUUCAUAAAAAAGACGAUAAGACCCUACUGAACUUUACUAAAGUUAAGCUGGGGAAGCUAAUUAAAAAUAAUUUUAAUUUUUUUUAUUAAUAUAAAAAGCCAAUAAUAUUGAUUUAAACAAGUUACCAUAGGGAUAACAGCGUAAUAAUUUUUAAAAGCUCAUAUUUAAAAAAUAGAUUACGACCUCGAUGUUGAAUUAAUUUUCCUAAAAAACGCAACCGUUAAAAAGGGGGUCUGU
rnacentral:rRNA from 1 species